rnacentral:lncRNA from 1 species
CCACUUUCGUUGAACACCAUCAAGUCGUAGCUUGAUUUCAGAUGAGCCUGUACCAGAUGCGGACAACUUUGGUGCAACAGCUUCAUGAAACUCUGUGUGAUAAGUUGGUUCUGGUACAGGAACAAGUUCGGUUGAGAAUACUGGCUGGACUGGAGAAGGUCUUGAUGGCACAGAAGGUUUAGGAAGCUCGUAGGCUUCAAAUCUAAGAGAAUGUCCUGAAGAUCCAUGCUGUUCUUCGUGUCAGUGGGACUGGAGAAGGUCUUGAUGGCACAGAGGGUUUGGGAAGCUCGUAGGCUUCAAAUCUAAGAGAAUGUCCUGAGGAUCCAUGCUGUUCUUCAUGUCUAAAACUACUGAUAGUUAAAGCUCCUGAUCGCGCAUUCUCAGGAAUAUAGGGUUG